rnacentral:misc_RNA from 1 species
AAGUCGUAACAAGGUAUCUGUAGGUGAACCUGCAGAUGGAUCAUCUUUGUAUAAUCCAAACCCAGCCUCUCUGAGGUUCGGGGGAGAGAGGUGUCGCUCCGCACCUCUCAAAAAUAAACUAAAUUGGGCAAUCUUCCACAAACACGGUUGCAUCGGUCGGGUCUCUGCUGUCCAACAGUGCCUCACGGCGCUGGGAAAAUGGCAGCGCCCCGACAAAAUUUACAACACACGCUAAUCUUUAGUCGUUGAAAAAUAAUCUUUAUGAUUGACACGAUUCGGUAACACGGUCGUAUAAUCUAAAACACAACUUUUGGCAACGGAUCUCUUGGUUCUCC